AAUCAACGGUUUCUGGGUCUGAGAUGUUGCAUACACCUUCUCAGUCCCUGUAUCCUGAGAUGGAGUCACCUGAGAAUCCACAGCAAGUCCUAACCAGGGAUGGGUCUGGGUGAUUAAGGAAGGUUGGCUUCAGAACUGGGCCAGGGGCACUGCUUUGCUUUUGCUGUUUUGAUCAGCUCUCUGCCUGAAGGAGACAAGAAAAACCAACGGGAACAGCCCAGUAAAGGCGCCAUUCCCCAUUUUACAGCUGGGGAAACUGAGUUACAGAGCUUGUCUGCACUGAGUCAUCAGGAGCAAAUGCUAGAUCAGACCAACAGGUAUUCUACCAUAUAAGAAAUAUGAUGUUCUCUGUACAUUGAAGAGUUGGUCUAAUAUUUGGCCUGGUGGAUGGAGAAAUUGCCUGUCUG
rnacentral:lncRNA from 1 species